rnacentral:rRNA from 1 species
UGGGGAAUCUUCCGCAAUGGACGAAAGUCUGACGGAGCAACGCCGCGUGAGUGAUGAAGGCCUUCGGGUUGUAAAGCUCUGUUAAUCGGGACGAAAGAGCGUAGUGCGAAUAGGACUACGAAGUGACGGUACCGGAAUAGAAAGCCACGGCUAACUACGUGCCAGCAGCCGCGGUAAUACGUAGGUGGCAAGCGUUGUCCGGAAUUAUUGGGCGUAAAGCGCGCGCAGGCGGAACAGUAAGUCUGUCUUAAAAGUGCGGGGCUCAACCCCGUGAGGGGAUGGAAACUGCUGUUCUUGAGUAUCGGAGAGGAAAGUGGAAUUCCUAGUGUAGCGGUGAAAUGCGUAGAGAUUAGGAAGAACACCAGUGGCGAAGGCGACUUUCUGGACGAACACUGACGCU